rnacentral:misc_RNA from 1 species
CAACGAUAUGAACAUAUAUGACACUCUGUCAUAAUGCAUCUGUUUACUCAACCAGGUUCUCUUCUUUUGACCAUACCCAGAAGUAUUGUUUGGAUUUUUUGAAACACACAUACGACAUUAUUCAUAUUCACAGAGAACAAGUUCCAAAUCCUUAACAUACCCGUUACUCUUUAUUGCAAGCAUCAGUCUUUACGUGAGACUAAACCUCAUACUUCUCUCUGGU